GGAUAUGAGGGCGAUCUAGCUACAAUAUCUGUCACCCUAUUGAUGGCCAAGGUUGAUCCGGCUGAUUUGGCUGCCUAGGCGGGUGUCCCCUUCCUCCCUCACUGCUCCACGUGCAUCCCUUCCGAAGCUGUGUGCUAGGUCAAAGAGGAUGACCAUCCCCGAUAGAGGAGGACUGGACUUUGGUCAAGGGUAUACAAGUAGCGAUGCUCCCCUGCUAGAAACUUCAAACAAGCUCUCAAGUUCCAGAAGGAAGUGAAAAAAGAAAACCAAAGUGUGG
rnacentral:snRNA from 1 species